AAAACGGAAGCCGAAAAGUUUUUAGAGUAGGCA
rfam:Prevotella salivae F0493 contig00002, whole genome shotgun sequence.